GCGGAUGUGGCGGAACCGGCAGACGCGCUAGCUUCAGGAGCUAGUGGGAGCAAUCCCGUGAGAGUUCAAAUCUCUCCAUCCGCA
rnacentral:tRNA from 1 species